ACGUUAACGAACGAGACCUCGUCCUGCUAAAUAGUUGGGCCAACUCUUCGGGGUUGACAUUGACUUCUUAGAGGGACUUUUGGUGAGUAGCCAAAGGAAGUUCGAGGCAAUAACAGGUCUGUGAUGCCCUUAGAUGUUCUGGGCCGCACGCGCGCUACACUGAUCGGUUCAUCGAGUUUACAACCUUGACCGAUAGGUCUGGGUAAUCUUGGAAAGCCGGUCGUGCUGGGGAUAGAUCAUUGCAAUUAUUGAUCUUGAACGAGGAAUUCCUAGUAAACGCGAGUCAUCAACUCGCAUUGAUUACGUCCCUGCCCUUUGUACACACCGCCCGUCGCUAAUACCGAUUGAAUGGUUA
rnacentral:rRNA from 1 species